AAGGGCACGAGGGAAGUGGCGGGCGGGGACUGAGGGGGGCGUGCAGGUGAGCGGACGGGCCGGGUUUCGCCGGCAUGGCCGAGGCCAGGAAGCGCCGGGAGUUGCUUCCCUUGAUCUACCAGCAUCUGUUAAAGGCGGGCUAUGUGCGCGCGGCGCGGGAAGUGAAGGAGCAGAGUGGCCAGAAAAGUUUCCUGACUCAGCCUGUAACCCUUAUGGACAUCUAUACUCACUGGCAACAAACCUCAGAGGUUGGUCAGAAGCGGAAGGCAGAGGAGGAUGCGGCGCUGCAGGCUAAGAAGACCCGAGUGUCAGACCCCAUCAGCAGCUCUGAGAGCUCAGAAGAGGAGGAAGAGGACGAGGCAGAAGCUGAAGCCACCAAAGCCACCCCAAGACUAGCGUCUACCAACUCCUCAGUGGCGGGGCCAGUUUUGCCAUCAAGCGCAAAAGAAAAAGCCAAGGCAAAGACCAAGAAAGCCAGCCAGAUGGUGAACUCCACACCACAUCCGGCCUCUGGAAAGGCAGUGGCCCACCUUCUGUCUGGGAGGUCCCCCAGGAAGUCAGCAGGGCCCUCAGCAAAUACCAUCCUGGUCUCAGAAACUGAGGAGGAGGGCAGUGUCCCGGCCCUCGGAACCACGGCCAAGCCUGGAAUGGCAUCAGCCAACCAGGCCGACAGCUCCAGCGAGGAGACCUCCAGCUCGAGCGAUGAGACCUACGUGGAGAUGAAACCUUCAGUAAAACCGCCCCAGGUCAAAGCCUCACCAGCCCCUGCCAAGGACUCUCUCGGGAGAGGGGCAGCCCCAACCUCUGGGAAGGCAGGGGAUGUGACACCCCAAGUCAGAGGCGGUGCUCUGACCCCAGCCAGCAAGGCCAAGGAGCCGGAAGAGGACUCAGAGAGCAGUGAAGAGGAGUCUGAGAGUGAGGAGGGGGCCCCUGCGGAACCACCCCACCAGGUGAAGGCCUCAGAGAAAAUUGUCCAGGUCAGAGCUGCCUCGGGUCCUGUCAAGGGGACCCCUGGGACAGGGCCCACCCCAGCACCUCCUGGGAAGGCAGGGCCUGCAGCUGCCCAGGCCAAGGCAGGGAAGCCAGAGGAGGACUCGGAGAGCAGCAGUGAGGAGGAGUCCGACAGCGAGGAGGAGGCGCCAGCUGCCAAGAUGCCACUUCAGGUGAAGCCUUCAGGGAAGACCCCCCAGGUCAAAGCUGCCUCAGCUUCUGCCAAGGAGUCCCCUAGGAAAGGGGCUCCUCCAGUGCCGCCUGGCAAGGCAGGGCCUGCAGCCUCCCAGGUGGGGAAGGGGAAGGGGGAAGAAGACCCAGAGAGGAGCACUGAGGAGUCUGACAGCCAGGAGGAGGCCCCAGCAGCUGUGCCCCCAGCCAAGAGCCCUGCUCAGGCAAAGCCUGUGGGGCAAAACUCCCAGAUCAGAGCUGCCUCGGGUCCUGUCAAGGGGCCCCCUCAGAAGGUGGGGCCAGCAGCCACCCCAGUAGGGAAGCAGGAGGAGGGCUCUGAGAGCAGCAGCGAGGAGGAAUCAGACAACGAGGGGGAGGCGCCGGCCCAGGCAAAGUCCUCCGGGAAAAUCCUCCAGGUCAGAGCUGCCUCAGGUCCUGCUAAGGGGCCCCCUCGGAAGGCAGGGCCUGUGGCCACCCAGGGCAAGGCCGAGGGGUCCAAGGAUGACUCAGAGAGCAGUGAGGAGGAGUCAGACAGUGAAGAGGAGGCGCCUGCAGCCGUGGCUCCAGCCCAGGCAAAACCGGCUGUGAGAACACCCCUCACCAAGGCCUCCCCAAGGAAGGGCACUCCCAUUACCCCAGCACCUGCCAAGGUCCCCCCGGUUCGAGUGGGCACACCAGCCCCUUGGAAGGCGGGAGCAGCAACUUCUCCAGCCUGCACCUCAUCCCCAGCUAUGGCCAGGGGCACCCAGAGGCCAGAGGACUCUUCAAGCAGCGAGGAGUCCGAGAGUGAGGAGGACCCCGCUCCUACCCCAGUCGUGGGACAGGCAAAGCCUGUAGGGAAAGGUGUCACCCUGAAAGCUGCUUCCACACCCACCAAGGGGCCCUCAGGCCAAGGGACUGCCCCAGCACCCCCUGGGAAGGCAGGGCCUGCAGUGGCCCUGGUCAAAGCUGAGGCUCAGGAAGACUCCUCCGAGAGCAGUGAGGAGGACUCUGACAGUGAGGAGACGGCUGAAGCUCUAGCCCAGGUGAAGGCCUCAGUGAAAAUUCCUCAGAGCAAAGCCAGCCCAGCUCCCACCAGAGCAGCUUCAGCCAAAGGGGCAGCAUCAGCUCCGGGAAAAGUGGUCACUGCCGUUGCUCCAGCCAAGCAGGAGUCCCCGGCCAAGGUAAAGCCGCCAGCGAGAGCCCCCCAGAGCAGUGCCGUCUCGGUGAGGGGCCGGGGGGCCGUGCCAGCUGUGGGGAAGGCCGUGGCCACUGCGGGGAAGGCCGUGGCCACUGCAGCGCAGGCCCAGCCGGGGCCAGUCAAGAGCCCACCGGAGGACUCGGAGAGCAGCGAGGAGGAGUCGGACAGUGACGGGGAGGCCCCCACUCAGCCCUCAGGGAAGACCCCCCAGGUCAGAACUGCCUCAGCCCCCGGCAAGGGGUUCUCCAGGAAAGGGGCUGCAGCAGCCCCUCCCGAGAAGACAGAAGCCACAGCCACCCGGGCUGGGAAGCCGGAGGAGGCCUCGGAGAGCAGCAGUGAGGAGGAGUCGGACAGCGAGGAGGAGGCGCCGGCCCAGGUGAAACCUGCUGUAAAGCUCCCCCCAGCCAAGGCCUCCCUGAUGAAAGGUGUCCCGGGCACUCCUGUUUCUGCCGAGGCCUCCACAGCACGAGUGGACACACCAGCCCCACAGAAGGCUAGACCAGCAACUCCUGCCAAGAAGGAGGGUAACUCCAAAGCUGCCAGAAGCAAGCCCCUGGCCCCAGCACCCCCAGAGAAGAACACAGAGGGCUCCUCGGAGAGCAGCGACGAGGAGCUGCCGGCCAGCCAGGUGAUUAAACCCCCUCUGAUUUUUGUCGACCCUAAUCGUAGUCCAGCUGGCCCGGCUGCUACCGCCACACAAACCCCGGCGGCAAACACCCCGAGGAAGGCCCGGGCCUCGGCGAGCACAGCCAGGAGCUCCUCCUCUGAGAGUGAGGAUGAGGAUGUGAUACCCGCCACGCAGUGCUCCACUCCUGCCAGUAGAACCAAAGCAGCCGUGCUCACGGUGCACCCAAGGCCAGCUGUCAGGGCCAGCACUGUUGGGGCCGGCAGCAGGGAGGCGUCCGGUCGGGUGUCAGAAGGCAAGAAACAGGAGGCGCCCGUCGCUCAGGUGACAAAGAGGAGCCCUGCUCGCCUCCCUCUGACCCAGGCCGCCCUGAAGGUCCUUGCCCAGAAAGCCAGUGAGGCCCAGCCUCCUGCUGCCAGGACCCCGUCUUCCAGUGGGGUUGACAGUGCUCUGGGAACACUCCCUGUGCAGGCCAAGGGGACCAACAAGCUCAGAAAGCCUGAGGUUCCUGCGGUCCAGCGGGCCACAGCCCCUCCUGCCGGACGCGCCAAAGCCAAGGCCUCUGACACCUCCAGUGACGGGGACGACAGCAGCUGCAGCUCUUCAGGGAGCGAGGAGGGUGCUGCCGGGACCCCGAUGGCUCCCUCGGCCCCCAGGCUAGGUCCGGCCCCCUCCACGACGGAGACCUUGGUGGAGGAGACCACAGCGGAGUCCAGUGAGGACGAGGUGGUGGCACCCUCUCAGUCUCUCCUCUCAGGUUAUGUGACCCCUGGGCCGACUCUGGCCAAUUCCCAGGCUUCAAAGGCCACUGCUGGGCCAGACCUCAACCCCUCGGCGUCCUCUGCUUCUGCCACCAAAGAUGCCCCAGACGGCAAGCAGGAAGUGGAGCCCCAACAUGUAGCAGGCACCGUAUCCCCUAAAACAAGCAGAAGGGAGGCUAAUCCCACGCCUCAGAAGCCCCAGAAGCCCAGGAAGGAGGCCGAGAGUCCCCAGGCCUCCAUACUGGCAUUGCAGAGCGACCUCAGCCGGCGCCUCCUGAGCGAGCCCUGGCCCCUGAACGAGGCCGGAGUCCAGGCCUCGGUGGUGAAGGUCCUGACGGAGCUGCUGGAGCAGGAGCGGAAGAAGGCCGCGGAUGCUGCCAAGGAGAGCAGCAGGAAGGGCCGGGUGGGCCGCAAGCGGAAGCUGUCGGGGGACCAGACGGCCGCCAGAGCCCCCAAGAGCAAGAAGAAGCAGCAGCUGGUGGCUGGGGGAGGUGGGGAGGGUGCCGGCUCGCCAGAAAAGGCCCUCAGGACUCCCAAGGGGAAAGCCAAGAGAGACGGAGUGAGUGGUGACCUCAAGGAGAAGAAGGAGAAAGCGUCUCCUGGCUCCCAGGGGGCCAAGGAGAAGCCAGAAGGGGAGCCAGGGACACUGAAGGUUGAGGGUGGAGACCAAGGCAACCCAAAGAGCAAGAAGGAGAAGAAGAAAUCCGACAAGAAAAAAAAAGACAAGGAAAAAAAGGAAAAGAAGAAGAAAGUAAAAAAGGCCUCAACCAAAGACCCUGAUUCACCAUUCCAGAAAAAAAAGAAGAAAAAGAAGAAGACAGCAGAGCAGACUGUCUGAGGGGCACACGGCGACAGGUGGGGAAACUAAGGCCUGGACCAACAAGGUGUGAGAUCGAAGUGGAAGUGAAUAGCCACGAGGCUGACUUAUCCCAGAACUCGGUUUCUUCGGACACUCAAUGCCUAUUAAAGUUUGGAAUUGCACCUGUGAUUCUUAUUUCUAGGGAAAAGCAAUGGGCAUCCUGGGAAACACCUGGAUGAGACAAUCCUGGGCCUGGGAAAGGGGUCCUGGGGUCCUCCUGGAUGGCUGUGCUGGCCCCUUGCUGCAAGGGAGAGGGACACAGGCAGGGCAUGCCACAUCAACCUUCAAUCCCUUCUAAAAAUUUAGCCAGAGCCCCCACCCUUGCCUUUUCCUGACUCCUCCCGGCAUCUCUCAAUCCCUCCUGUAAUGGUGGAUGCGUCCAUCUACUCACACUUCCCUAAUACAAACACAUACACCUAUCCGUGGUAAUUAGAGAGAAAGUCCACUGUGAUGAGCAGUUUCUACCAUCCUCUCUGAGAAACUCUGUUUCUCCAUCUAGGAUCCAUAACAUUUUCCAAAUCUAGUCCAAGGUUUCUAACCUAGGAUUCACAGUCUAGCUUCAGGGGGUCUGGGAAUCCCCUGGUAUUAUGUGAAAGUCUAGGGGGAGAAUCCAGGGCUCUCUUAUGAUUUUGAGGACGGAAGUGUAUCAUGCAAAGAAAUUUAAGACCCCUGCCCUGGAGAAGCUCCCUCAUUUUAAAGGUUUUUUGUUUUUGUUUUUGUUUUUUUUAAGAUUUUAUUUAUUUACUUGAGAGAGAGAGAGCACAUGAGAGGGGGGAGGGUCAGAGGGAGAAGCAGACUCCCUGCCGAGCAGGGAGCCCGAUGCGGGACUCGAUCCCGGGACUCCAGGAUCAUGACCUGAGCUGAAGGCAGUCGCUCAACCAACUGAGCCACCCAGGCGCCCCCGGAGCUCCCUCAUUUUAAAGGAGGGAAGACAGAAGCCCAGAGCAGGCCAGAGACUUGCUCAAAAUCACCCAGAGGCAGGGCCUGAAGCCAUCCCUCCCGUGGCUCCCUGUCUAGUGCUCUUCCCAGGGCACCCAGGCACGUCUGUGUGGUCCAGGACUUGUGUGCUCUCUCCUGCAGCUCACACAUACCUC